rnacentral:tRNA from 1 species
CUCUCUGUAGCUCAGUUGGUAGAGCAUGGUGUUUGCAACACCAGGGUUGUGGGUUCGAUUCCCACGGAGGGC